rnacentral:rRNA from 1 species
AUACGGAGGGUGCAAGCGUUAAUCGGAAUUACUGGGCGUAAAGCGUACGUAGGCGGUUAGUUAAGUUAGAUGUGAAAGCCCCGGGCUUAACCUGGGAACUGCAUUUAAAACUGGCUAACUAGAGUUAAGUAGAGGGGAGUGGAAUUUCAGGUGUAGCGGUGAAAUGCGUAGAGAUCUGAAGGAACACCAGUGGCGAAGGCGACUCCCUGGACUUGAACUGACGCUGAGGCACGAAAGCGUGGGUAGCAAACGGGAUUAGAAACCCUAGUAGUCC